UACGUAGGAUGCAAGCGUUGUCCGGAAUUAUUGGGCGUAAAGAGCGCGCAGGCGGUCUAUCAAGUCAGAUGUGAAAUAUCCCGGCUUAACCGGGAGGGGUCAUUUGAAACUGGUAGACUAGAGUACAGCAGAGGAUAGUGGAAUUCCCGGUGUAGUGGUGAAAUGCGUAGAUAUCGGGGGGAACACCAGUGGCGAAGGCGACUAUCUGGGCUGAAACUGACGCUGAGGCGCGAAAGCUAGGGGAGCAAACAGG
rnacentral:rRNA from 1 species